GGGAGAGUAGCUUAGUGGUAAGAGCGCAGGCUCCGCCUGAGGCGCAGGUUCGACUCCUGCUUCUCCCC
rnacentral:tRNA from 1 species